CCAGCUCUUCACACAUGCCGGAGGCGGCUGGGCCUCCAGGUCUUGAGCCUGGAAGAAUUUUCUACCUCAAGUCACAUCGGGGCUCAGCUUCCCCCGCCGCAGGCUCAGAAACCCCGUCUACUUUCCAAAAAGUUUGUGGGUGUCAUUUUCUCUUCUGUCACCCCCAUCCUGCAAGUACUUAACGGAGACACACGGCAGCAUGGAGACUGGGGUCACCCCACAACCGUUGGAGCAGCUGUGGUCUUUCCAUUAAGAGGUAAAAUUUGCAUCUGGUCCACACCACUGUGCUCUGAAUAUCAGAAACGGGAAGCAGUGCCCAAUGCUUCCCGCAAUGCUAGGACAAGUCACAGCAGCACAACAUCUGCAGCUGGAGAGGGGAUCAGCCUUUUCCAGAACAUUCCCCUCCUGAGCCAAGGGGAACGGUGUGGUGGAAGCCAGGCUCGCUUCUCUCUGUUGGGGGGAAGGGGGGGUCAAGGGUGGAGGGCUGGGAGGUGUCAGGUGACCACCCAAAGAAAGGUCUCAAGGUCAGGGAAUCCUGGGGCAGGGUGCUGCCUCUUCAGAGUGUGGGAUUUUAAAAGCCCAAAGGAGAACUUAGAUCCAAGGUGGGAGCUACAGCUUGCACUUCCUGCCUCGAUGGUCUUGCCUGUCCCUUUAGAUGGGGUGAGGCACCAUGUGGUCUGUGCUCAGAAAGGGUUAAGUCUCACCCGCAGCCCUGGGAUCUGUCAGCAUUGGCGAUGAGGCUUCCUGCGGGGAGACCACUACCUUGGAGCGGGCCAGAGCCUGGUGUCCCAAGAGAGAUGGUCACAGACUCCCUAGAGGGAUGGUGUGUGGUCACUAGGGAUGGAAAGGAAUUGACCUUUACUGGGCAGUGACCAUGCGCCCGGCCCAGGGGCAGGGAUCACAUCUCAGCUCCAGGUCACCGUUUCAAGACAGGUGCGAUGCUCUCUGUUUUAUAGAAAAGGAAACUGAGUCUCUGUGGGCCUGGUCCUAACCCAGUCACAUGCAAGCAUUCAUGCCUG
rnacentral:lncRNA from 1 species